rnacentral:misc_RNA from 1 species
UGGGUUGGUCGGAUCCCNGCUUGUGMAGCGACGGCCGCUCUUACUUCCCUUUUCAUUCUUGCUCCAAGAGCGAUAUGCCUUGGACCAAUUUGGUUGCCUGUGUUGCAUACCUACGUUGAUGGAAUUCGCUCGUCCAAUCGCCCCUUAUUCACCUUGUGCUGCUUACGCGGUGCAGGGUGAACCAUGCAAUGUCCGUCGUUGUCCGUUCUUGCCCUGCGUUCACGCGACGCAUGAAAUGGCCAAUGUUGUGACACUCGAAUUCUCGGAUACAGAACCCUAAAGAGGGCAACGGGUCUUUGGCCUUGAUUUUGCCUAAACUAAGUUCUUACAAACGACUGUCUUGCCCGUUUUGACCUGAGGAUGCUUUCGGUCCGACUGGCUCAUGCGGCGCAGACGUCRAAGAGGAAUGCUACC